GCCCACGCCGGGGCCCGCUCCUCGCGCGGUGCCGCCUCGGCGGUGGCGGCAGUGGCGGGUGCGCAGCCCAGCAGCACAGCGGUGGCGCGACCCGCGAACGGGCUCAGCUCGGCGAAGCGCUCCUCCAGCAGCCCGGCCUCCGAGGGGUCCGCGCACAGCUCCAGCGCGCGCAGCUCCAGCGUGCCCCCCAGGUAGCGGCCCCGGGACCCCGGCUCGUCGCUGUCGUCGUCGUCGUCCUCGUCGUAGUCGGGUGGCCCCAGCGCGGGCCCCAGCGCCCCAGGCCCGGCCCCCGCGUGGGGGGAGCAGCACGACGAGGAGGAAGAGGAGGGUGGGGAGCCGCCGCCGCCGCCGCCGUCCUCGCCGCGGGCGCAGCCAAAGCGCGGCUCGCCGUCCACCGCCUUGGUGAUGAGCGUGGCGAGUCCCAGGGAUCACAUGCUGGGCCUCCGUAUACUGAGAGCCUUUGCUGUCAGUGACCACAGAAAGGCUGGAGUGGGCGCCCGGGCCAGCACUAGGCUCAAUCAACAGUUACUUUUGUCAUCAAGCACGGGCCUCAGGAGUCUGGAGUGAAAUGGGCAGAAAGAGCCAGAAUAUGAAAACUUCUUCGAGGGACGCCUUCAGAUUGAUGGAGGCAGGAAGACAGAUCAGGCCGGACCUCAUCUCCGAGGAGAGAAGUGGAGCUCCAGUCCUUCUAUUCCUCCAUCUUAAUCCAAGAUCGCAGGAAGUUGUUGCUGAACAAGGAUGAGACCCAGAUGUCCCAGCUCCAAUCCUGGCAAAGGAGGACCCAGGGCAGCGUCUGUUGUCCUUAGAUAUUUGCAUGGCUGGGAGAAGCCACAGAAAUUGGCUGGAGAAUGUUUGCAGACCUGGGUCAUCAUCUGAACCAUUUGCUGAGCUCUAAAAACAGGGAUCCCUGGGCUACCAUUCUUUGGAGGAACUAAUGAGAUGUCAUUAAGGGCUUGAGAUGAGAUCAUCCUGAAUUAUCUGGGUACUGGCCCCACAUCUGACGCAAGAUGUCCUCCGAGCAGACACACGGAGGAAAAGGCCAUGUGAUGACACCGCAGAGUGACCUCGAAGAGUGACGCCAGCCUCGGAGGCUGACAACCCUGCAAGGAGGAGGAGUCAAGGGAUCAUUCUGCCUGGAGCCUGCCCACACCUUGCUUUCCGAUUCCAACCCUCCCGAAUUUUUGAGACAGUACAUUUCUGCUGUUUUAAGCCAUCACGUUUGGGCAUAAGGCAUUGUUUUAAAUCUUAAUAUUGUGUGUGAACCCUCCUAUUUGUCUCUGACAAAGAAGACCAGUGGUCUCCAAGUGGGGUACUCAACACAAUGGCAAAUGGGCAAAAAUGAAACGUUGGGAAUGAAAAAAAGAACACAGUUUUCCUUUCUGAACCUUUUCAGGUUCAGAUUGGCAGCAGGCGCUUCCCUCUGUGGGUAUGUCAGAAGGUCCCGAGUCACGCAUGGCACAGGUCGGUCCUUGAAGGGCUCCGCAGGGAGGGGCCAACGGAGGGACCCUCACCCGUGUAUAUUUCCUCCCUGGGAAAUGUGGGCCAUUACGGUCAACAUGCACUUGGAUAAGUGGAUUACAAAUCACAUCAUUUAGUUUGAGCUCAUCUCUACGAAAUAGAAAAAUGGUUUUAAUAGAUUACUGUAGAGAGAUUGAGGAUUAAAGGUAAUACCACUAGUACAAGACUGGGUAAAAAACAGGAAAUGAGCUGAUGGGGCUAGGAUGAACUGUGUUAGCGCAAUGUCAGGGAAAAACGAGGUCUGCUAAGUCAUCAGUCCCCUUGCCCCUAAAACGAAAACUACCAAGAAACUUGAAAGAUGGAUUUAUACUGACUGUAUUAAUGAUGAAACUCACCCUUUGGGUAUAUUGUGCCUGGGAUAUUGGUUAUUAAUAGUAUGGAGUCAUGAAAACUAACACUCAAAAUAUUACUUUUCGCCUUUAAUUCAUCUAGCUAAAUUUUCUGCUUAAUGGAAUGUGUGUAUAAUGAAUACAUAAAUAUGCAUAUAUUAGAGAGGCAAAGUUUUAAAAAAUCAGGGAUUGCUAUGGACUGAAUUGUGGCUCCCAAUUCAUAAAUUGAAGCCCUAACCCCCAACAUGCCUGGAUUUGGAGUUAGGGCUUUUAGAAGGUAAUUAAGAUUAAAUGAGGGCAUGAGGAUGGAGUUGGAUGGCCUUAGACGAAGAGGAGGAGACCCCUCUCUCUCCUUCUCUUUCUCCCCCCUCCAUUCCCACCCCCCCACCCACCCAUGCAUAAGCACAGUCGGUAAGCUGGAAAGAGAGCUCUCACUGGAACCGAUUGUGAUGGCAUAUUCUGAUUUCAGACUUCCAGCCUCGAACCGUGAGAAAUAAAUGUCUGUU
rnacentral:lncRNA from 1 species